GACGAACGCUGGCGGCGUGCUUAACACAUGCAAGUCGAACGGAAAGGCCCUGCUUUUGUGGGGUUCUCGAGUGGCGAACGGGUGAGUAACACGCGAGUAACCUGCCCUUGACUUUGGGAUAACUUCAGGAAACUGGGGCUAAUACCGGAUAGGAGCUCCUGCUGCAUGGUGGGGGUUGGAAAGUUUCGGCGGUUGGGGAUAGACUCGCGGCUUAUCAGCUUGUUGGUGGGGUAGUGGCUUACCAAGGCUUUGACGGGUAGCCGGCCUGAGAGGGUGACCGGCCACAUUGGGACUGAGAUACGGACCAGACUCCUACGGGAGGCAGCAGUGGGGAAUAUUGCACAAUGGGCGGAAGCCUGAUGCAGCAACGCCGCGUGCGGGAUGACGGCCUUCGGGUUGUAAACCGCUUUCGACUGUGACGAAGCGGGAGUGACGGUAAUGGGUAAAGAAGCACCGGCUAACUACGUG
rnacentral:rRNA from 1 species